UGUUUUACUGUCGAAUUAUACCAGGAGCCGUUCGAUUCUUUGCUUGCUUGGAUCCAGCCGUUCGUUUCCUUCUUCCUUCUUUGCAGCCUACCAGCUUCCAGAUAUUCCAGCGUUCGCAUCUACGCCGCCGCCGCGUCUUCUAGCCCUCGAUUCCCCAUCCGCUCCUGCGAGUUCCUUCGUGUCUCCGCCAUCGCCGCCCCACCGUGGGUUCUUCACCGCUCGCUUUUCCCCUCGCCAGAUCGCCAUAUCCCUUUCACCCUCGGAAAAAUCGGCACUAUUGUUUCUUUCUCCCAGGUUGUCACCGUCUCUCGAACCCUCGAGCCGAAAUCGCUGCCAUUGCUGAUUUCCACACAAUCUCCCACUAAGGUCGUCCACAGCCGUUGGCUCGCGGUGCUAUCGACGGCUGCUAGCGUUCGUAUCCGGCCGGACUCACAGUCCCCAACAGAAUCGACGGCCGCCAGCGGCUGCGGGCAUUGGCCUGACCCGCCCCUUCAAACCUACAGUUCGUGCGCGUUCUGUGCGACGCCGUCCAUCUUCCAGCCUACCGAGCUAUUCGAGCCUGUGCCAACUCUUGGUUCCUCUCAGCAAGAGUAUAUAGUGCAGAACAACAAUGAUUGCUUUCCUACAAGUUUCCAUUUGCCAUCUACAUGUUCUGUUCGACGACAUUUGUCUGUUCAAUCCCCUGAGUUGCAGGAACUCCAUAAUGCACCUGUUACUCGGCGGUGCCGGAAGCGCUCGCUAUUGGCUACUAGCAGUGACUUUCCUACCGAUUUCCAGUUCUCAUCUGGCCGUCGUGUGCGCGCUCGCCUACUACGGCAAUCUCAUGAAUAUCCUCGACCAGAUGCUGCUACAGCUGCUCAAGCGCGACGUAGGCGUAAAUUGCACAUAUUAGCUAUGUCAGCAAAAGCUCAAGUGUCAGCCUCUAGCAUAUGUUCCACUCCACCAGCCAAACAUAAACUAUGUCAUUCUUUCAUAUCACUUCAUCUCUUUACCAUUUUUUGCAUGUAUUCCUCCCAGCUGAUGUAAUGUGCCACUGACAUAAAUGUCCAUACACAGAUACCGAUGUGAAUUUCAGAUGCUGGUGAUUUCGCUGCACAUAUCAAAUGUCAACUUUGCUGUCGCCAUCCACAGUUCAAUCUCGCUGCAAAUUUCGCUGUCAAUGUAGUUGCCUUUCUUAGUUAUGAUGCUUCUUUGGUU
rnacentral:lncRNA from 1 species